GACGAACGCUGGCGGCGUGCUUAACACAUGCAAGUCGAACGGAAAGGCCCUGCUUUUGUGGGGUGCUCGAGUGGCGAACGGGUGAGUAACACGUGAGUAACCUGCCCUUGACUUUGGGAUAACUUCAGGAAACUGGGGCUAAUACCGGAUAGGAGCUCCUGCUGCAUGGUGGGGGUUGGAAAGUUUCGGCGGUUGGGGAUGGACUCGCGGCUUAUCAGCUUGUUGGUGGGGUAGUGGCUUACCAAGGCUUUGCCGGGUAGCCGGCCUGAGAGGGUGACCGGCCACAUUGGGCCUGAGAUACGGCCCAGACUCCUACGGGAGGCAGCAGUGGGGAAUAUUGCACAAUGGGCGGAAGCCUGAUGCAGCAACGCCGCGUGCGGGAUGACGGCCUUCGGGUUGUAAACCGCUUUCGCCUGUGACGAAGCGUGAGUGACGGUAAUGGGUAAAGAAGCACCGGCUAACUACGUG
rnacentral:rRNA from 1 species